AGGAGCCUUCCUUUUCCAUCUUCUGAGGAACCCCCCCCCGCCGCCGUGGUCCCUUUUAUUUUCCAGGUCUUUCCUGCCAGAUCCCUCUUUCGCCAGGGACGGCUCUGUCGUUGCCUUCCUCUCUCUAGCCUGCCGGGCUCAGCCUCCCUCUCCCCUUCCCCAUCCAGCCUGGACACCCCUCAACCUCCCUGGCCCUCCCUACCCCCAGCCUGCGCCACCCCCACCCCCACGCUUUGGCAAUUUUUUUUUUUUUUUUUGCUGCGAGCCUUGUUUACCCAGCAGGUGGAUGUGACGUCAGGGACGCACAACAGCAAAAAUAACAACAUCUCCUUCCGCGACGUGUCGGCCUCUCGCGCUCGCCUUAUUUAUUUAUUUGUUCCGGGAGGCCGGGGAGGGGGGGCCGGGCGGAAUGCGAACAGACUGAGUGGGCAGGAGAGCGGGGAGGGCUCGCGCGCCGGGGGUGCUGAGGGAGCUUGGGGGUGCUCGAGGCAGAGAGGGACCCCCGGCAGGAAGCCGGGGAACAGCCGCAGGGCGCCCCCAACGCGGCGCUGCCUGCGUCUGUGCCGCCGCCGCCGGCCGGGCUCCGGGAAGCUAGUCCCGAGCGGAGGAAUCUAUUGUUAUUUAUUGUGUGGCGGUUGCAUGCUGUACUCGCGGCGGCCCGGCCCUCGCCCGGAGUGCUGGUGUGCGCGCGUGUGUGCGCGAGUGAGUGUGUGCGCGGGGGUGCGCGCGCGGGCGGGAGUGGGCGCGCGCGGGGAAAGGCCCGAAAACACCUUAGUUUGCACCGAGAGACCAUUUGCAGCGGUGUUCCAGGAGCUUUCGCUGACAAACAUUCCAGUUUCCAAACGAAUCAUUUGGGCAAUGGUGAUCCCUUCUCCAGUCUGCUGUCGGCCAUGAAUGGAUGGAUGUGAUGCCUGCUAGCCGAAAGGGUGAGUGAAUGCUUACGAUUAUUUGUCUGAAAGCCACAGGAAAAAAGUUUGCUGAAAGGGUCCCCCACAGUGCAAGAAACAUAAAAUCCUGAGCCCCUACAGAUAAUUGUCCAUUGAUGAUGAAAGAUGCUUGUUUUGAAAGAAGGAACCCACUCAUCAUUGUUUUCUGGUAUAACCUUUUUCGACAACGGAUAGAGUGAUCUGAGGGUUUAUAAAAGGUGUACUAUGACAUAGCAGAACUUUUUUCGUUUACUUGUUCUUUUCAAUCAUACAUGGAAGGCUUUUUAUGUUACAACUUGGUGAUAAAUAAUAGUACCACCAUGAAAUAAGACUAUAAUUAUCUCAUCUUGAGUGUUUGGGUAAUAUUUAAGUCUGAUUUAUUGAUUGAGAAGAUUCCAUCCCAAGCCUUCCACGUUAUUAGCGCUCUUUUAAAAAUCAAAGGGUUGGAAACUUUGAGCUCUGAAAGAUUUUCUGAAAGACUUUUGGGCAUAUGUUUUUCCUGUAUCAUAGUUUACCUCAUUAGAAUAUUCAUAAUUCAUAAUUUUAGGGGCAUUUAGAAGGGGCAUGAUCAUCUUUUUUCACUUAUGUGUAUUUUCUAUAUUAAUCUAGUGUCUUUUGUGUUCCUCAGAAAUUGUUAGGCCCCCUUUAGCUAUGAAUGAAUAAUUAUAACUUGCUGUUGUCAGUGACCAAUGAUUGGUUGAGGCCAGGUGUUUUAUGUAAAAACUCUGACAUCAUUCCAUGGUAGUUUGCUCAGAGAAUGAGGUCAACUUAUGGGGAGCCAUUUACUUUUUUGUAUUGGAUGGCAUUUAAUGGGAAAAGACCAUUGGCAUAAAUUCAUCUUAUUUGCCCUAGUGGCAUUGUAAUAGAAAUAGAUUUUAUUUAAUGGAGGGAAGUGUAAUGAAGGAAGAAGAGCACUGAAUUGGGAAUUGGAAGACCUAACAGUUAUCUAGCAUGGGGCAAGUUAGUCUCUCUUUGGUUUGGUUUCCUCUGUUUAAAAAAAGCCAGGUGGGUUAGAGAAUUCCUUCCUGUCAGGGCUAACACCACUCUGGAAAUUAACUAUUUAAAUCCUUUCAUUUUACAAACGAAGCAACUGAGACUGAUAGAAUCUAAUCGAAAAUGGGGAAUUUUAGAAUUGUUACAGGUCUUCGAUCAUCAUACCGGAUGGUCUUGGCUAGUCCUUCGGUUUUCUCACCUAUGAAGUCCUCCUCAGGAUUUUCCAUCGUUCUGAAGCUAUGAUAGACUUUAGUGAAUGAUCUGUGGGUAGUGAGCAGAUAGUAUGUUAAGAAAUAGUUCAUAUUUGGGGAGCAGAGUUGAGUUGAAAAGAAAGUCUGGUAGACAUAAGAAUUCAUAGAAGUGGUUGGAAUUUGGAAGGUAUUGAAAUAGCAACAAACUCAGGUUUUAGGUUACCUGUCAUUUCUGUCUUCAGUAUUGAGAGAGUCUGACUCAAUCUCACGGUCAUAAAAUUGAUGUAUGAAAUUUAGCAAAACCACAUGAAUGGAUUUAUUGAAGACUAUGCUUAUUUUAUUCAUUAAUUUCAAUUGGGUAAGGCCCAGUGUUUGAAAAAUCAAUCUAAAGAACUAUAAGGAAAAUGUUAUCUCUUUUGAAUUGCUAAAAAGUAUUCUUAGGUUGGCCCAGUGGUUAGGGCGUCCGUCUACCACAUGGGAGGUCCGCGGUUCAAACCCCGGGCCUCCUUGACCCGUGUGGAGCUGGCCAUGCGCAGUGCUGAUGCGCGCAAGGAGUGCCAUGCCACGCAGGGGUGUCCCCCGCGUAGGGGAGCCCCACGCGCAAGGAGUGCGCCCGUGAGGAAAGCUGCCCAGCGUGAAAAGAAAGUGCAGCCUGCCCAGGAAUGGCACCGCCCACACUUCCCGUGCCGCUGACGACAACAGAAGCGGACAAAGAAACAAGAUGCAGCAAAUAGACACCAAGAACAGACAACCAGGGGAGGGGGGGGGGGAAUUAAAUAAAUAAAUAAAUCUUUAAAAAAAAAAAAAAAAAAAAAAGUAUUCUUAGGCCCAGUUGCAUACCAUUUUCUUUUAAAUAAGGAAGUGUUUUAUAUUUAUCAGAUUGUAAUAAACUUUCCUUUGCUGUGUUUUUAGUAGGAAGUAGGUAUACAAAAUCUGAUGAGUUGGUGCAUGUGUUCUGAUUUUUUCUCCUCCUCAGUUUUCCUCAGGGCACACCUCCAAGGUUGACUCAAAGCCAUAAUUCUCUCCCUCCCUUCUUCUCCUUGUAGGUGAUGUAAUAACCUGGCCUUCCAUGUAUUAUGUAUCUGAUAGCUAGUUAGCUAUUCCAUUGUCAAAAAUUCAUUCAUCAUAGGGUUUCUGUUUGGGGUAACGAAAAAGUUUUGGUAAUGGAUGUUGGCAGGGGUCAUAUAACAUUGUGAAAGUAAUUAAUGCCACU
ensembl:lincRNA